GAAUUGACGGGGGCCCGCACAAGCGGUGGAGCAUGUGGUUUAAUUCGAUGCAACGCGAAGAACCUUACCUGGUCUUGACAUCCACGGAAGUUUUCAGAGAUGAGAAUGUGCCUUCGGGAACCGUGAGACAGGUGCUGCAUGGCUGUCGUCAGCUCGUGUUGUGAAAUGUUGGGUUAAGUCCCGCAACGAGCGCAACCCUUAUCCUUUGUUGCCAGCGGUCCGGCCGGGAACUCAAAGGAGACUGCCAGUGAUAAACUGGAGGAAGGUGGGGAUGACGUCAAGUCAUCAUGGCCCUUACGACCAGGGCUACACACGUGCUACAAUGGCGCAUACAAAGAGAAGCGACCUCGCGAGAGCAAGCGGACCUCAUAAAGUGCGUCGUAGUCCGGAUUGGAGUCUGCAACUCGACUCCAUGAAGUC
rnacentral:rRNA from 1 species